ACCACGGAGCAAUGCAGGCUUGGCUGGCUUUGGCUGACGAGUGGCGGACGGGUGAGUAAUGUCUGGGAAACUGCCUGAUGGAGGGGGAUAACUACUGGAAACGGUAGCUAAUACCGCAUAACGUCGCAAGACCAAAGAGGGGGACCUUCGGGCCUCUUGCCAUCGGAUGUGCCCAGAUGGGAUUAGCUAGUAGGUGGGGUAACGGCUCACCUAGGCGACGAUCCCUAGCUGGUCUGAGAGGAUGACCAGCCACACUGGAACUGAGACACGGUCCAGACUC
rnacentral:rRNA from 1 species